ensembl:snRNA U6 U6 spliceosomal RNA
GUGCUCUCACUUCAGCAGCACACAUACUAAAAUUGGAACGAUGCAGGGAAGAUUAGCAUGGCAGCCAUGCAAGGAUGACAUGCAAAUUGGCGAAGCGUUCCGUAUUUUU